AGCCCUGACAUCCCCUGUUCUGAGACCCUCCCAGCCCUGACAUCCCCUGUUCUGACAGCAUCCAUGGGAGAUUUUUGUUCUCUUCUACUCCCCACAUUCCAUCUGCCCUGUUUCUUUUGAAUAAGCUCCAUGGCCUGGUCCUGAGUAUCAGUCAUCUCACAAGGGCUCGGUGAUAUCUAUGAGGUUGACAAAUAGUACCAGGAAGCAGGGAACCUGUCAUCAGCUACUCUGAGUCUUCUGUUCUUCCUCAGCUCUUUACAAGAUGGUCUCUCACUCUGGAGCUUGUGUGGAUCUCCUCAGUCAUUCUGAGAAGGAGGAGGAGAAGGAAGAGGAAGCA